rnacentral:rRNA from 1 species
GACGAACGCUGGCGGCAGGCCUAACACAUGCAAGUCGAACGCGAAAGGGACUUCGGUCCUUAGUAGAGUGGCGCACGGGUGAGUAACGCGUGGGAACGUACCCUGGAGUGGGGAAUAACCAUUGGAAACGAUGGUUAAUACCGCAUAAUGUCUUCGGACCAAAGAUUUAUCGCUCUUGGAACGGCCCGCGUGAGAUUAGUGUGUUGGUGGGGUAAUGGCCUACCAAGACUACGACCUAUAGCUGGUUUGAGAGGACGACCAGCGACACUGGGACGGAGACCCGGCCCAGACUCCUACGGGAGGCAGCAGUGGGGAAUAUUGGACAAUGGGCGCAAGCCUGAUCCAGCCAUGCCGCGUGAGGGAUGAAGGCCUUAGGGUUGUAAAGCUCUUUCAACGGUGAAGAUGAUGACGGUAACCGUAGAAGAAGCCCCGGCUAACUUCGUGCCAGCCGCCGCCGUAA